AAGACCUUGCGCUUUUGGAGCGGCCGAUGCCUGAUUAGCUAGUUGGUGGGGUAAUGGCCUACCAAAGCUUCGAUCAGUAGCUGGUCUGAGAGGACGGCCAGCCACACUGGGACUGAGACACGGCCCAGACUCCUACGGGAGGCAGCAGUGGGGAAUUUUGGACAAUGGGCGCAAGCCUGAUCCAGCCAUGCCGCGUGAGUGAAGAAGGCCUUCGGGUUGUAAAGCUCUUUCAGCCGGGAAGAAAAGGUUGCGAUUAAUAAUCGCAAUUGAUGACGGUACCGGAAGAAGAAGCACCGGCUAACUACGUGCCAGCAGCCGCGGUAAUACGUAGGGUGCGAGCGUUAAUCGGAAUUACUGGGCGUAAAGGGUGCGCAGGCGGUUUUGUAAGUCAGAUGUGAAAUCCCCGGGCUUAACCUGGGAACU
rnacentral:rRNA from 1 species